rnacentral:rRNA from 1 species
GGAAUCUUCGGCAAUGGACGAAAGUCUGACCGAGCAACGCCGCGUGAGUGAAGAAGGUUUUCGGAUCGUAAAACUCUGUUGGUAGAGAAGAACGUUGGUGAGAGUGGAAAGCUCAUCAAGUGACGGUAACUACCCAGAAAGGGACGGCUAACUACGNGCCAG